CACCCUCCAGCUUACAAAUAAAGCAUGGCACUGAAGAUGCCAAGAUGGUUUCCUACACCCGAGGACA
rnacentral:tRNA from 1 species